rnacentral:rRNA from 1 species
AUUGAACGCUGGCGGCAGGCCUAACACAUGCAAGUCGAACGAGUGGCGGACGGGUGAGUAAGGUCUGGGAAACUGCCUGAUGGAGGGGGAUGACUACUGGAAAAGGUAGCUAAUACCGCAUAACACCAGAUGUGCCCAGAGGGGAUUAGCUAGUUGGUGGGGUAACGGCUCACCAAGGCGGCGAUCCCUAGCUGGUCUGCGAGGAUGACCAGCAACACGGGAACUGAGACACGGCCCAGACUCCUACGGGAUGCAGCAGUGGGGAAGAUUGCACGAUGGGCGCAAGCCUGAUGCAGCCAUGCCGCGUGUAUGAUGAAGGCCUUCGGGUUGUAAAGUACUUUCAGCGGGGAGGCGUUACCCGCAGAAGAAGCACCGGCUAACGCCGUGCCAGCAGCCGCGGUAAUUC